rnacentral:rRNA from 1 species
AUUGAACGCUGGCGGCAUGCUUUACACAUGCAAGUCGAACGGUAACAGGCCUUCGGGUGCUGACGAGUGGCGAACGGGUGAGUAAUGCAUCGGAACGUACCCAGAGGUGGGGGAUAACGCAGCGAAAGCUGUGCUAAUACCGCAUGUGAUCUGAGGAUGAAAGCGGGGGACCGAGCAGCAAUGUUUGGCCUCGCGCCUUUGGAGCGGCCGAUGUGGGAUUAGCUAGUUGGUGGGGUAAAGGCCUACCAAGGCGACGAUCCGUAGCUGGUCUGAGAGGACGACCAGCCACACUGGGACUGAGACACGGACCAGACUCCUACGGGAGGCAGCAGUGGGGAAUUUUGGACAAUGGGCGCAAGCCUGAUCCAGCAAUGCCGCGUGCGGGAAGAAGGCCUUCGGGUUGUAAACCGCUUUUGGCAGGAACGAAACGGUGUCCGCUAAUACCGGGCGCUAAUGACGGUACCUGCAGAAUAAGCACCGGCUAACUACGUG